CAAUAGCGUAUAUUAAAGUUGUUGCGGUUAAAAAGCUCGUAGUUGGAUUUCUGCUGAGGAUGACCGGUCCGCCCUCUGGGCAGGUAUCUGGCUCAGCCUUGGCAUCUUCCUGAAGAACGCAGCUGCACUUGACUGUGUGGUGCGGUAUUUAGGACAUUUACUUUGAGGAAAUUAGAGUGUUUCAAGCAAGCGCACGCCUUGAAUACAUUAGCAUGGAAUAAUAAGAUAGGACCUCGGUUCUAUUUUGUUGGUUUCUAGAACUGAGGUAAUGAUUGAUAGGGAUAGUUGGGGGCAUUCGUAUUUAACUGUCAGAGGUGAAAUUCUUGGAUUUGUUAUAGACGGACUACUGCGAAAGCAUUUGCCAAGGAUGUUUUCAUUGA
rnacentral:rRNA from 1 species